UGGCCAAUGAUGAAAGCAAUAGUCUGAUUGCAUACUUGCUUAAAGACCAGGUCUGAUGGAUAAAAGGAUUUCCUGAGGCCA
rfam:Alligator mississippiensis ScZkoYb_56, whole genome shotgun sequence.